rnacentral:lncRNA from 1 species
AUUUAUUAUCUCCUGCUGGCAAUUGUUUGAAGGAUGGCAACAUUUAAUAUCUAUGUGGGGAAUAACCAUAGCACUCAUUUUUGGUGAUUCUCAGUUUAGAUAGAUGGCAGUUAGUGGAAGCAAGCAAUUGUGGCAAAAGGGAACCUUGUGUAACUGUCACAGUUCACAGUACUUGAAACCAGCCUGUCGACUGUGUAUCUCACAGCUCUCUCUUCAUAACCUAUCCAGACAUGGAACUGACAGUGUGCCUCUUUUUAUUUCCCUGAACCUGACCUUGGCUUUGUUGGUAACAGACAACUCUGCAUAUGAAUCAGUGUUCCAAGUAAUCCAGAAAGUGAGCCACUGCUGAGAACAAGAAGGAUCUGGAAAGCCACGAGUCAGCAGAGAAGCCAAGGAGACUCUAAGAUGUCUGGAGAGUCUCCAGAAUCAGCACAGCAUGCUCUCCACCAGGGCUCUGUCCUGCACAGGUAAGAUUGAAGUCUUUUCCCUCUCAGCCACUAUAUUGGAGAUGAAAUGUGUAUGAGUAAUUGAUACUGCUAGCCUGAGGGUCCAACUUCUAAUAUUGUCAUUUUUAAUUUUUUUUUUUUUAAGUUAGGUAUCUCCAUUAGAAUUCAAAGAUCCAUGAGUGUUAGUGUUGCCUUCAAAGUUGUCAUACUGGUAGGUUAUAUAGAUUUUUAAAAAACACUACUGCCACUUAUCAAGACAAUUGGAG